rnacentral:rRNA from 1 species
AAGCGCUUGAGGCCAGACUUGGCCGCCGUUGCUCGGCGGGACCUGCGUCCCGUUUGCUCUUCGGCGGUCAGGCCAGCAUCGACUCGGGCGGCUGGAUAAAGGCUGCGGGAAUGUGGCUCUUCGGAGUGUUAUAGCCCGCGGUGGAAUGCAGCCUGCCUGGGUCGAGGUCUGCGCAUCUGCUAGGAUGCUGGCGUAAUGGCCCCAAGCGG